GGAAGUAAAAGUCGUAACAGGGUCUCCGUUGGUGAACCAGCGGAGGGAUCAUUACCGAGUGCGAACUCAUAACCCUUUGUGAACCUAUAUCUGUUGCUUCGGCGGCUCGCUCUCGGGCGAGCCCGCCGGUAAUAUCAGUAUCUCUGUUUGAACCCGACGAUACUUCUGAGUGUUCUUAGCGAACAGUUAAAACUUUUAACAACGGAUCUCUUGGCUCUA
rnacentral:misc_RNA from 1 species